AGCUGAACUCCAAUUCAGUAUACGUUAUAGAAGAUUCUACCCCCAAGGCUGACGACGUCGUCUACUGAAGCCCCACCAGCGACGCGACGGGAGAGCUCCGGCCUGUACGUGGGUGUGGGAAGACAGAUCCGCAUCGCCAGCCUACACAAGGCCAUGUCAACGCCUCGACGCAGGGUUCAUCAUCCGUCUUCGUCGGCUUUCAGGUUCUAAAUGAGAAGGUAAGGAUGUACUUGAGCUGCAUGAGAAGACCCAGUUCCAUUAUCUCAGAAGCCAGAAGUUUCCCAUUUAAUAUCUUUGGUUCUAAAAUUUGUUUAAGAAAAUGGCCAUUUUGCUAUUAGCACCACGAUUAUGUGUCAAUUGUAGAUUCUUAAUUGUUUAGAAUUAUUUUAUAUGUUUGAUUCCUUCGGUUCAUAUUUAUUCAACAACAAAAUAUUUUCAAGAUUGGUCCGUUUGAGGAUCAAACUUCGAACAUGUGAAUUGAUGUGGCAUCAAGCUAAGUCCGUUGAUACAUUGCUAUCCUUUUUUGCUUUGCACAAUUAAUCUUGUCACUAGAGAUGUAUGUAAAUCCUCUAGCUUUGCUUAUUUUAUCUUUUUAUUUCA